rnacentral:rRNA from 1 species
AACGAACGCUGGCGGCAUGCCUAACACAUGCAAGUCGAACGAGACCUUCGGGUCUAGUGGCGCACGGGUGCGUAACGCGUGGGAACCUGCCCUUAGGUUCGGAAUAACUCCCCGAAAGGGGUGCUAAUACCGGAUAAUGUCUUCGGACCAAAGAUUUAUCGCCUUUGGAUGGGCCCGCGUUGGAUUAGCUAGUUGGUAGGGUAAAAGCCUACCAAGGCGACGAUCCAUAGCUGGUCUGAGAGGAGGAUCAGCCACACUGGGACUGAGACACGGCCCAGACUCCUACGGGAGGCAGCAGUGGGGAAUAUUGGACAAUGGGCGAAAGCCUGAUCCAGCAAUGCCGCGUGAGUGAUGAAGGCCUUAGGGUUGUAAAGCUCUUUUACCCGGGAUGAUAAUGACAGUACCGGGAGAAUAAGCUCCGGCUAACUCCGUG